rnacentral:rRNA from 1 species
GCUUACGGCCACACCUGCCUGAGUACGCCUGAUCUCGUCCGAUCUCGGAAGCUAAGCAGGGUCGGGCCUGGUUAGUACUUGGAUGGGAGACCUCCUGGGAUACCAGGUGCUGUAAGCU